AGGUGCUGCAUGGCUGUCGUCAGCUCGUGUCGUGAGAUGUUGGGUUAAGUCCCGCAACGAGCGCAACCCUUGCCUUUAGUUGCCAUCAUUAAGUUGGGCACUCUAGAGGGACUGCCGGUGUCAAACCGGAGGAAGGUGGGGAUGACGUCAAGUCCUCAUGGCCUUUAUGACCAGGGCUACACACGUACUACAAUGGCAUGUACAAAGGGCAGCCACUUCGCAAGAAGGAGCGAAUCCUUAAAACAUGUCUCAGUCCGGAUUGGAGUCUGCAACUCGACUCCAUGAAGUUGGAAUCGCUAGUAAUCGUAGAUCAGCAUGCUACGGUGAAUACGUUCCCGGGCCUUGUACACACCGCCCGUCACACCACGGGAGUUGGUUGUACCAGAAGUAGUUGAGCGAACUCUUCGGAGACGCAGGCUACCAAGGUAUGAUCGGUAACUGGGGUGAAGUCGUAACAAGGUA
rnacentral:rRNA from 1 species